AACAUUAAUGAUCAUCUCAUGUCUCAAGUUAUUAUGCUGCAACUAGGAUUUGUAGUUAAUGAAAAAAUGUUCUGAACAGAUAUUAUUAUGGUGCAGAAUCUUGAAGCUGUCUAUUCUUUGGUGCAUUAAAGCAAUUAUUGACUUAAGUCAAAGUUGAGUGGACCAAAACCAAUUAAAACUCACUGACAAUUGUAAGCAUGGCUUUACUUGGAUCUGUAUUGUAUGAGUUAUUAGCAGAAAAUACACAUCGAAAAACUUCGCUCUUUUCACAUGCAACCAUAAACUGAUAAAGAAUAUUCUAAUACGUACCAUAGUUUACAUUUCGCGAACUAAAGUACGGAGAUCGCUGCCGUGCGGUUGUAUUAUUAACGUAGCGACGUAUAAAUUUACCUUUGUUAGAAUGUUAGUGUAAUAAUUCACCAAAAUGCGUUUUCCUCAACAAAAAUGCGAUUGUAACAAUGUUUUGAAAAUAACAAAUCAGCUUAUUUACCAA